rnacentral:rRNA from 1 species
CCCUUAGAUGUUCUGGGCCGCACGCGUGCUACACUGAGUAAUUCAAUGGGUAAGGGAACGCUAGAGCAUUACCUAAUCUUGAAAUUUGCUCGUGAUGGGGAUCGACGGUUGCAAUUUUCCGUCGUGAACGAGGAAUACCUUGUAGGCGCAUGUCAUCAUCAUGCGCCGAAUACGUCCCUGCCCUUUGUACACACCGCUCGUCGCUCCUACCGAUUGAGUGAUCCGGUGUGGCUCUGGGACCUGGACGGAAAGAGCGUUUCGCUUGUUCUGUUUGGGAAACUUGGUCGAACCUUAUCAUUUAGAGGAAGGAGAAGUCGUAACA